rnacentral:rRNA from 1 species
AGAGUUUGAUCAUGGCUCAGAGCGAACGCUGGCGGCAGGCUUAACACAUGCAAGUCGAGCGGGCACCUUCGGGUGUCAGUGGCAGACGGGUGAGUAACGCGUGGGAACGUGCCCUUCAGUUCGGAAUAACCCAGGGAAACUUGGGCUAAUACCGGAUACGUCCGAAAGGAGAAAGAUUGAUCGCUGAAGGAUCGGCCCGCGUCUGAUUAGCUGGUUGGUGGGGUAAUGGCCCACCAAGGCGACGAUCAGUAGCUGGUCUGAGAGGAUGAUCAGCCACAUUGGGACUGAGACACGGCCCAAACUCCUACGGGAGGCAGCAGUGGGGAAUAUUGGACAAUGGGCGCAAGCCUGAUCCAGCCAUGCCGCGUGAGUGAUGAAGGCCUUAGGGUUGUAAAGCUCUUUCGGCGGGGACGAUAAUGACGGUACCCGCAGAAGAAGCCCCGGCUAACUUCGUGCCAGCAGCCGCGGUAAUACGAAGGGGGCUAGCGUUGUUCGGAAUCACUGGGCGUAAAGGGCGCGUAGGCGGCUUUGUCAGUCGGGGGUGAAAGCCUGUGGCUCAACCACAGAAUUGCCUUCGAUACUGCAUGGCUUGAGACCGGAAGAGGUUAGUGGAACUGCGAGUGUAGAGGUGAAAUUCGUAGAUAUUCGCAAGAACACCAGUGGCGAAGGCGGCUGACUGGUCCGGUUCUGACGCUGAGGCGCGAAAGCGUGGGGAGCAAACAGGAUUAGAUACCCUAGUAGUCC